GGAGGGAUGCCGGAGUGGUCUAUCGGCCAGCUCUCGAAAAGCUUGGGGACAGCAAUGUCCACUGGGGUUCGAAUCCCCCUCCCUCCGCCA
rnacentral:tRNA from 1 species